rnacentral:misc_RNA from 1 species
UCCGGUUUGUCACCGGCAGUCCCAUUAGAGUGCCCAACUCAAUGUGGCAACUAAUGGCAAGGGUUGCGCUCGUUGCGGGACUUAACCCAACAUCUCACGACACGAGCUGACGACAGCCAUGCAGCACCUGUGUUACGGUUCCCUUUCGGGCACCCCCGCCUUUCAGCAGGCUUCCGGACAUGUCAAGGGUAGGUAAGGUUGUUCGCGUUGCAUCGAAUUAAUCCACAUCAUCCACCGCUUGUGCGGGUCCCCGUCAAUUCCUUUGAGUUUUAACCUUGCGGCCGUACUCCCCAGGCGGGGUGCUUAAUGCGUUAGCUUCGGUACGGAGAACGUGGAAUGUCCCCCACACCUAGUGCCCACCGUUUACGGCGUGGACUAC